rnacentral:rRNA from 1 species
AUUGAACGCUGGCGGCAGGCCUAACACAUGCAAGUCGAGCGAGCGGCGGACGGGUGAGUAAUGUAUGGGGACUGCCCGAAAGAGGGGGAUAAUUAUUGGAAACGGUGGCUAAUACCGCAUACUAUCGGAUAACCCAUAUGGGAUUAGCUGGUAGGUGGGGUAAAGGCUCACCUAGGCGACGAACUCUAGCCGGUAUGAGAGGAUGAUGGACCACACUGGGACUGAGACACGGCCCAGACUCCUACGGAGGAAGCAGUGGGGAAUAUUGCACAAUGGGCGAAAGCCUGAUGCAGCCAUGCCGCGUGUAUGAAGAAGGCCUUAGAGUUGUAAAGUACGUUCAUCGAGGAGGCGUUACCCGCCGAAGAAGCACCGGCUAACUCCGUGCCAGCAGCCGCGGUAAUAC